AUUUCAGUGAGACUUAUGAUUAUUACUGUAACAGGUGGCACCAUUAGGUGUCGCACUCUCUCCAGCCUGUGCCUCCAUAAAAGGGAAGCUGGAAGACCAGCUGUGUGUUGGGCCCACGCUGUUUGCUGGCUGUGGACUGCAUUGUUGAUGGUGUUGGCUGGUAGCGUUACCUGGGCGUGGUUGUUCGACGCCGCAGCGUUGCACCAGAUUGGAUACACCAAGGUUUGAUCUGAGAGUGUUGAUUUAUGCAAUGCAGUGUAAGCAGAUUAAUCUGAAAGAGGAAGCCAGGAGUUAGAAAAUCUAAAGACUUUCCUGUCUCAGAAGAGACUCUGGCUCCACCAGGUCACCAACCAGCUCUGAGGAUGAAGCUCCACAUCGUCUUCAUGGUGGAAGGAUUUUUAUUUUUACUGAGCAGCUGGCUACAUUUUUAACAGCAAAAACUGGGCCUGUGAUGGACUGGUGACCUGUCCAGGGUGAACCCUGCCUCUCAUCUGAUGACAGCUGGAGAUGGGCACCACUUUUUAGAUUAUCAUGCAGAGAAAAUGGAGUACUUAUAAUUAUCUUGCCACCCAGAAAAGGAUUUACAAUAAACUUAUAAUCCAGAAAAACUA